rnacentral:rRNA from 1 species
AUUGAACGCUGGCGGCAGGCCUAACACAUGCAAGUCGAGCGGAUGAAGGGAGCUUGCUCCUGGAUUCAGCGGCGGACGGGUGAGUAAUGCCUAGGAAUCUGCCUGGUAGUGGGGGAUAACGUCCGGAAACGGGCGCUAAUACCGCAUACGUCCUGAGGGAGAAAGUGGGGGAUCUUCGGACCUCACGCUAUCAGAUGAGCCUAGGUCGGAUUAGCUAGUUGGUGGGGUAAAGGCCUACCAAGGCGACGAUCCGUAACUGGUCUGAGAGGAUGAUCAGUCACACUGGAACUGAGACACGGUCCAGACUCCUACGGGAGGCAACAGUGGGGAAUAUUGGACAAUGGGCGAAAGCCUGAUCCAGCCAUGCCGCGUGUGUGAAGAAGGUCUUCGGAUUGUAAAGCACUUUAAGUUGGGAGGAAGGGCAGUAAGUUAAUACCUUGCUGUUUUGACGUACCAACAGAAUAAGCAC